rnacentral:rRNA from 1 species
GACGAACGCNGGCGGCGUGCUUAACACAUGCAAGUCGAACGGAGCGAAUGAAAGCUUGCUUUUAUGAGCUUAGUGGCAAACGGGUGAGUAACACGUAGACAACCUGCCGACAGGAUGGGGACAACAUUCCGAAAGGAAUGCUAAUACCGAAUGAAGCGGAGGAGAGGCAUCUCUCCUCCGUGAAAGAUGGCCUCUAUUUAUAAGCUAUCACCUGUUGAUGGGUCUGCGUCUGAUUAGCUGGUUGGUGAGGUAACGGCUCACCAAGGCGACGAUCAGUAGCCGGUCUGAGAGGAUGAACGGCCACAUUGGGACUGAGACACGGCCCAGACUCCUACGGGAGGCAGCAGUGGGGAAUCUUCCGCAAUGGGCGCAAGCCUGACGGAGCAACGCCGCGUGAGUGAAGAAGGUCUUCGGAUCGUAAAGCUCUGUUGACGGGGACGAACGUGCGGAGUGCGAAUAGUGCUCNGUAANGAC